AGGGGAAUAUUGCACAAUGGGGGAAACCCUGAUGCAGCCAUGCCGCGUGUGUGAAGAAGGCCUUCGGGUUGUAAAGCACUUUCAGUUGUGAGGAAAGUUUAUAUUAAUACCUGCUAGAUGUGACGUUAGCAACAGAAGAAGCACCGGCUAACUCCGUGCCAGCAGCCGCGGUAAUACGGAGGGUGCGAGCGUUAAUCGGAAUUACUGGGCGUAAAGCGCACGCAGGCGGUCUGUUAAGCUAGAUGUGAAAGCCCCGCGCUCAACGUGGGAGGGUCAUUUAGAACUGGCAGACUAGAGUCUUGGAGAGGGGAGUGGAAUUCCACGGUGUAGCGGUGAAAUGCGUAGAGAUCUGGAGGAACAUCAAUGGCGAAGGCAACUCCCUGGCCAAAGACUGACGCUCAUGUGCGAAAGUGUGGGUAGCGAACAGGAUUAGAUACCCUGGUAGUCCACACCGUAAACGCUGUCUACUAGCUGUUUGUGAAUUUAAUUCGUGAGUAGCGAGGCUAACGCGAUAAGUAGACCGCCUGGGGAGUACGGCCGCAAGGUUA
rnacentral:rRNA from 1 species